rnacentral:lncRNA from 1 species
UAAUGAAAAUUAUGACAUGCAAUUCCAUUCACCUUACAUGCAUCAUGAAAUCUACAUAAGCAUGAUUUAUGCAUAAUCACCAAUUAUAUGGCUAACACAUGCCACUCAUACACAUGAUUCAUAAUCCAUAUCUUAGGAUAUAAUGUAAUUUACUUAUUUCGUAGGCACAAUGGAAAUCAUAAAGCACAUAUAAUCAUAACUUGUAUAACUAAAGCAUGCCAUAUACAUUCACCAUUCACAGCUUAUAAUUUAGGGUACAUGACCUA